GAAAGCCAAAUGAAUUGUUUAUAUAAAAGAAUGUUUAUAUAAAAGCAUUACUCUCCAUACCUUCCUCUAACUGGACUGUCCUUUCAUUUAUAUAUUUUUCCAUCAACUCAUUUAGACUGAUUAAUUGUACCUAAAAAUAGUUUAGAUUUACUUUAUCUUUUUAUACUCAAAAUAACACCACAAAAUGGAUCAUGCCUACAUGCAGUUAUCUAAGAAAACCUACUCUGUUAUUUCAGGUCAUUCCUUUUGGAGUCUGAAAAUCACUGAGCCCCAGAUUUACAUAACCAUGAAAAUCAAGGAAGGUGGAUAUCCAUGGCUCCAACCUGUGACGAACAGCUUCAUCUCAAGCCUCAGCAGCAAGUCAGUUGUCAGCAAGCCUCACUUCCUUGGCCAGUCUGGGGAGGGAUAACUCAAGUGGUGGUGGACCACUGCAGAAUCCCAGAAGAUGUGCAUGUCUCAAACACUGCUGCCUGGAUGGAUGUGGAGCCAACCAAGGACUGUUGGCAAUAACAGACAAGAAUUGUUGGUAUUAACCAAGAUGGGGCUAGAGAAGGGGGAUCAUGUGGAGAUAGGGCAGUACUUUUCUGGGACAAACAUUUUUGUUGUAGUUCCUGAAGGUAAGUACAACACAGUACAGCACAAGUGCAGGAAUGAGGCCGAGAAGUAGGCGAGGACUAUAGUGGGAGAUUAAGACCACUAAAGACCCCCAAAGCCCUCCGACCCAUUUCCAGAAAGGCCUGAAAGAAUGGACUGCACACGGUAACUAAUUUGCAUAGAAAGUGAGAAACAUGUCCAUGGGGUGGAGAAACCUGUCCAUAAAAAGAUACCCCCACCAAGCCUGGACUGCACUCCCCAGGACAUCCCAUCGGCUGGACCAACGCUGAAACCAGGAUUGAUAUCCCAUCAGCUGGAUCAACACUAGAACCAGGACUGGUGAUCUCUUUUCCUCUUUAGUUCAGCUCUUCCUUUCUCUCUUCCCUUUCACUCUACCCCUUUAUCCAAAACCCACUGCCAUGUGCCUAUAUACCAGGUCAGAGAAGACUAACGUACCAAUUUCCAU
rnacentral:lncRNA from 1 species